rnacentral:rRNA from 1 species
AUUGAACGCUGGCGGCAUGCCUUACACAUGCAAGUCGAACGGCAGCACGGACUUCGGUCUGGUGGCGAGUGGCGAACGGGUGAGUAACAUAUCGGAACAUACCCUAGAGUGGGGGAUAACGUAGCGAAGUUACGCUAAUACCGCAUACGAUCUAAGGAUGAAAGUGGGGGAUCCUCGGACCUCAUGCUCAUGGAGUGGCCGAUAUCUGAUUAGCUAGUUGGUGAGGUAAAGGCUCACCAAGGCGACGAUCAGUAGCUGGUUUGAGAGAACGACCAGCCACACUGGAACUGAGACACGGUCCAGACUCCUACGGGAGGCAGCAGGUGGGAAUUUUGGACAAGUGGGGGGCAACCCGUGAUCAGCAAUGCCGCGUGA